GGACCCGCACAAGUAGUGGAGCAUGUGGUUUAAUUCGAAGAUACGCGCAGAACCUUACCAACACUUGACAUGUUCGUCGCGACUCUAAGAGAUUAGAGUUUUCGGUUCGGCCGGACGAAACACAGGUGCUGCAUGGCUGUCGUCAGCUCGUGUCGUGAGAUGUUGGGUUAAGUCCCGCAACGAGCGCAACCCUCACUUUUAGUUGCCAUCAUUAAGUUGGGCACUCUGAAAGAACUGCCAGUGAUAAGCUGGAGGAAGGUGGGGAUGACGUCAAGUCCUCAUGGCCCUUACGUGUUGGGCUACACACGUGCUACAAUGGUAUCUACAGUGAGUUAAUCUCCAAAAGAUGUCUCAGUUCGGAUUGGGGUCUGCAACUCGACCCCAUG
rnacentral:rRNA from 1 species